rnacentral:lncRNA from 1 species
UCCCAAAAGGGGCAUUAGAAAUCCUGGGGUUUUGCUGAUGUUCUGCUUCUUGAUGUAGAUGCUUAUACUGUAGAGCACACGUCUUCAAGGAGAACUACAAACCACUGCUCAAUGAAAUAAAAGAAGACACAAACAAAUGGAAGAACAUUUCAUGCUCAUGGACAGGAAGAAUCAAUAUCGUGAAAAUGGCCAUAUUGCCUAAGGUAAUUUAUAGAUUCAAUGCCAUCCCCAUCAAGCUACCAAUGACUUUCUUCACAGAAUUGGAAAAAACUACUUUAAAGUUCAUAUGGAACCAAAAAAGAGCCCACAUUGCCAAAACAAUUCUAAAGCAAAAGAACAAAGCUGGAGGCAUCAUGCUACCUGACCUCGAACUAUACUACAAGGCUACAGUAACCAAAACAGCAUGGUACUGGUACCAAAACAGAGAUAUAGACCAAUGGAACAGAACAGAGCCCUCAGAAGUAAUACCACACAUCUACAACCAUCUGACCUUUGACAAACCUGAAAAAAACAAGAAAUGGGGAAACGAUUCCCUAUUUAAUAAAUGGUGCUGGGAAAACUGGCUAGCCAUAUGUAGAAAGCUGAAACUGGAUCCCUUCCUUACACCUUAUACAAAAAUUAAUUCAAGAUGGAUUAAAGACUUAAAUGUUAGACCUAAAACCAUAAAAACCCUAGAAGAAAACCUAG